rnacentral:lncRNA from 1 species
GUAAUACGAUAUUUUUAUCAAUCACGGUUUUAAGUAACUAAUGAAUUAUUUUUCACCUUAUUUUUCUAAUAAUGUGGUUUUGUAAAGGCAUUACUUUGAUUAUUAAUUUCGUAUCGCAGCUUAUUUAGUAUACCAAAAGUUUCAGAAUUUAAUGACAAAAACAACGCAGUUUUCACUCGGGGUGUUCACUAUGUUAAUAUUUUUAUUUAUCAUAAUAAAUUGUACUUAGGAACCAUCCGUAUUCAUUUCAGAUACGUCCAUCUCGCAAACAAAAACAAGUAAAAAUAAACAUCUGGCGGUGAGUCACGCGUCCCACCGCCCAAGAAAACUGUACGCCGAUGACAAAUGUUCCCACUGUUGCCAGAUGAAAAUUUCUCGUAACAGUAGAAUAGGACAUAAAAACAGGAGAAAACAGGAGAUUUUAAUAAUUUCAAAUAAAACAAUAAAAUGUAGUUAAAUUGAACAAAAUAACUAUCUUAUGGCUAUUUUUCAAGGCCAAUAAUUAAGUAAUUAAUUAUUUAAUUAAUUAAGCAGUAAUUAAUAGAAGUGAAGCAAGACAGUCCAUGACUAGUUUCUGACUGAUUCGCAUGCGCAGUUCCGUUUUCAAGCGCUUGAAAACGGAACUGCGCACGCGAAUCGGUCAGAAACCAGUGAUGGACUGUCUCCACGAAAAAAGUUUAAAUACAGGUUUCACAAAUGUUUAAACUUGUUGUCUGAUAACGCUAGAUAGUCUCUCAAAUUUAAUACCAACAUACCAUAUUCUAGUGGAAAAUAUAACAGAAGAUUUGAGAUUGAAAACAGGAGAACAAGAGAAGAAGUAUGAAAACAGUAGAUCUCCUGCUAAAACAGGAGAUCUGGUAACACUGAAUGUUCCCAAGCGAGACCUGCGAACGAAUGCACUGAUAGUAGGAUGCGCAAAACUGUCUACGCAGUUAGCCGGUGCAGGUGGUGUCUCGCUUAGGUUCAAUUUGCGCCGGGCCUGAGCCUUGCUGUUGGGUAAGUUUCUUGAAUGAGGUGGGCGUUGUCACCACAUGUUGAAUUUUUCAUUUUUCAUAUCUAAUUUUUAUUAUAUUAUAUUGUAGGUCAGUUCUAUGUUGUGUUCCUGUAUUAUUAGCUGAUGAUGGCUCGUGUUGAGCCGAAACACGUCCUUUUAUUCUGACUUUCUGACUUGUCAUCAAUGUUUUAAAAAGUACAAAACCAAAAAUUCUCUGAAUGUUCAUCUCUCGAGGGACUGCGGCGAAAAACCCAUUUUUGUCUGCAUCACCUGCAACAAACCUUUUAGGCGAAAGGAGUAUAUAACUCAUCAUAUUGGUGUGAACCGAGCCUGUAAUAGGGGUAUCCUUGAACAAUGUUUUAAGAAAAUUGUAGAUCCGUUUGUGAAACAGAUAUAUUUAAAACAAAGAGAAUAAAUGCUAUAGAACUUA